rnacentral:lncRNA from 1 species
CUGUUUGAUCAUCACCCGAGACGUUGAUACAAAGGUCAUUGUGACACCAAGAGGUGAGGGAGCUUGAUUUUGUUUGCACAUUCUUUACUGGGUGAAGGUAAAUAGGAUAUGGGGUUGGUUUUACUGCUUUCAGUUCAGCAGUUUGAGUUAGCGCAUGCCUGGUUGUGUUUGGGGCUUGUACUCACCAAACUGCAGGAUUUCUCUUGCUUUGUAUGGAGGACAAGGAAAAGAUUCCCUUCUGUCCUUGCGUCUAAGGAAGCGCCUGAAGGUCUGUCUGGCUCCAUGAGGUUGUGCAGCACUUGCAGGGAAGGGAUAGGGAGCAGGAGGGAAGCGUGUGGGGACAAGGUGGUCAAUGCUGCUUCAUGUGUUUUCCUGUGGGUCAGUCCUGUUUAACAUUUUAAUCAUAAAAUCCCAGAAUCCCAGCCUGGUUUGGGUUGGAAGGGAACUUAAAGCUCAUCCAGUUCCAACCCCCCGCCAUGGGCAGGGACACCUUCCACUAGAGCAGGUUGGACACAGGGGCUUGGAGCAACCUGCUCUAGUGGAAGGUGUCCCUGCCUGUGGCAGGGGGUUGGAGCUGGAUGGAGCUUUAAGGCGCCUUCCAAUACAAACCAGUCUGGGAUUCUAUGAUUCAAGUGAAGUGGGGAAAGCCAUGGCCGCAAGGUAGGAGACCUGCGAUGCAGGUGCAUCUCUGUCCCUGCUGUGUGAGGAGACCUUUGCAGGGCUCCUGAAGGUUCUUUCCUCACCAAGCCAGGUAAUAUUUGUUUGUGGAGGUGCUCCAAGGUGGUGGUGUCACAGGAGGGUUUCAUGCCAUUAUUCAACAGGUUAUAGAGCCAGCUAUGGAUGGAGAACAGCUGCCUGAUCCUGAGCAGGAGGAGGAUGCUUCAGGUAAGUGCAGAUCUGGACUGUCUCAUCUAGCAGCAAUGCUUCAGCUUUAUCUUUAAAGACACCUUAUUCUGUGUGCAGCUGCAGCAUAGCACUUGGGCUCCACCAGGGAAAACAACAGGAAACCAAUUUCAGGAGUCCAACAUUUUAUUUAUAUAUAUAUACACACAUCUAGUAAACAAAGUCAUUAAAUGUGUAACACACACUUCAGACCUGUAAUUAGAAUACUUCAAUAAAUGGUUUGAAUUCUUCUCAA